UAUUGAUUUUGCUUUUUUAUUUGUAGCGUAUGUAGCCAAUAGAUUUCCAAUGGUAGAAAUAAGUAGGAUAAAACAAGUGUUAGCCUACAAGUGCAAAGAAAAUUCAACGGCGUUUAAGAUGAAGGCAGUCAGAUAUUUUGGGGAACAGAUGAGCAAGUAGGACAAUAGACCUGGAUUUAGUCAAUAAAUAAAAUGUGUCAAAAUACUGGUAUUUAAGUUUCAUUAGAAGAAAUAUAUCAAGUACGAAUAUAUCACUAAUAUUAUCUUAGUAUUUUUAUGGUUUGUUAUUAAAUUGUGUUCAUUAUUACUGUUAUGCGUAUUUUUUGUUAUUAAUAAAUUUUUAAAAUCA
rnacentral:lncRNA from 1 species